UACAGAGGUCUCAAGCGUUGUUCGGAUUCAUUGGGCGUAAAGGGCGCGUAGGCGGUGUCGCAAGUCGGUAGUGAAAUCUCCAGGCUCAACUUGGAGUCUGCUGCCGAAACUGCGGUGCUAGAGUGUGGGAGAGGUGCGUGGAAUUCCGGGUGGAGCGGUGAAAUGCGUAGAGAUCCGGAGGAACACCGACGGCGCAGGCAGCGUCCUGGCCGCUUGCUGACACUGAGGCACGAAAGCUGGGGGAGCAAACAGG
rnacentral:rRNA from 1 species